GAUGAACGCUAGCGGGAGGCUUAAUACAUGCAAGUCGAGGGAGAAAUUGUUUUUCGGAAUAAUGGAAACCGGCGCACGGGUGAGUAACGUGUACGAAUCUGCCCUAAACUCGAGGAUAGCCCUUGGAAACGAGGAGUAAUACUUGAUGUGGACUACGGUCUAAAGAUUUAUUGGUUUAGGAUGAGCGUGCAUUAGAUUAGCUAGUUGGUAAGGUAAGAGCUUACCAAGGCUACGAUCUAUAGGGGGCGUGAGAGCGUGAUCCCCCACACGGGUACUGAGACACGGACCCGACUCCUACGGGAGGCAGCAGUAAGGAAUAUUGGUCAAUGGAGGAAACUCUGAACCAGCCAUCCCGCGUGCAGGAAGACGGCUCUAUGGGUUGUAAACUGCUUUUAGAAGGGAAGAAGUUCCAAGAUUUAUCUUGGGUUGACGGUACCUUCAGAAUAAGCACCGGCUAACUCCG
rnacentral:rRNA from 1 species